rnacentral:rRNA from 1 species
GAACGCUGGCGGCGUGCUUAACACAUGCAAGUCGAACGAAGCACUCUACUUGAUCUCUUCGGAGUGAUUGUUUGUGACUGAGUGGCGGACGGGUGAGUAACGCGUGGGUAACCUGCCUCAUACAGGGGGAUAACAGUUGGAAACGACUGCUAAUACCGCAUAAGCGCACGGCAUCGCAUGAUGCAGUGUGAAAAACUCCGGUGGUAUAGGAUGGGCCCGCGUCUGAUUAGUUAGUUGGCGGUGUAACGGACCACCAAGACGACGAUCAGUAGCCGGCUUGAGAGAGUGAACGGCCACAUUGGGACUGAGACACGGCCCAAACUCCUACGGGAGGCAGCAGUGGGGAAUAUUGCACAAUGGGGGAAACCCUGAUGCAGCAACGCCGCGUGAGUGAAGAAGUAUUUCGGUAUGUAAAGCUCUAUCAGCAGGGAAGAAAAUGACGGUACCUGACUAAGAAGCCCCGGCUAACUACGUG